CGUAGGGUGCAAGCGUUAAUCGGAAUUACUGGGCGUAAAGCGUGCGCAGGCGGUGAUGUAAGACAGAUGUGAAAUCCCCGGGCCCAACCUGGGAACUGCAUUUGUGACUGCAUCGCUGGAGUGCGGCAGAGGGGGAUGGAAUUCCGCGUGUAGCAGUGAAAUGCGUAGAUAUGCGGAGGAACACCGAUGGCGAAGGCAAUCCCCUGGGCCUGCACUGACGCUCAUGCACGAAAGCGUGGGGAGCAAACAGGAUUAGAUACCCUGGUAGUCCGCGCCCUAAACGAUGUCAACUGGUUGUUGGGUCUUCACUGACUCAGUAACGAAGCUAACGCGUGAAGUUGACCGCCUGGGGAGUACGGCCGCAAGGUUG
rnacentral:rRNA from 1 species